rnacentral:pre_miRNA from 1 species
CUGGGGGGCGGGGAGUCCCUCAGCCUGGAUGGCGAGAGGGCACAGGCCAGGCUGGGGGACCCCACUGGUCCACA